UGGCCAGCGCCUCUCAUCUGCUUCGCUUCCCCAACUUCCCAAAUUGCGAGCUUGGAGCACGGAUCAGAUCGUCGUGUCGCGCGACGCCUCGCCCCACUUCGUUCGGAGCCUCAGGUUCCGCACCUUCUUCAUUGACCAAAGUUCACAUCCUCCGAGCAGAAAAAGAUGAUAUAUCAUAAAAUUUUCUCUAUUUCAUUUUCGCAGAUAUUUCACCAAGGAAAAGCACACAACACAAUCAUGGAAAUGCUUCUCCUACAAGGCAAGGAGAUUCACAGAACAUUCAGAAGAAAAGCAUCGAAAAUGAGUUUCCAAGUGAUAAACAUGAAUUCUGUGUACCCAGGCAAAAAAUGUUUUGUCCCUA